GAAUACAGAAGCUGUAAAAAGGUAUAACAGGGGUAUAAAAGAAAAGGCAAAAAAUCUUCAUGGCAUCACCUGCAUACCCCAAGAGCAGCUGCAUGUUCCAGGCUUUCAUUCUAUACUAUCUGUGAUGCAUAACCAAGCCUAAAACGCCUCACAGAAAGGUUUGCUGGGGGAAGAAUCAUCUCUGUGUCUGCUGCAGUUCCCUCAUGCUUGCAACAACAGGCGUGUGGCAGCUUAGAUUGUAUGGAGUAAGGGCUCCUCUGGAGGAAGCUCCUGGAUCCAUCACAAAGCAAUGGAUGUUUCUUUCUUUUCUGUUUAUUUAAUAUUCGUUUUUCUUUAUUUAAUAUUCUUCUUUUAUUCCUAUCAGUCUGAAAAUGAAAAGCCCAUCCUGUUGUAUUGUAUGAUUCUGCUUCCUGAAGGUCUUCUGCAUUCUACAAAUGGCCACAGGCACCUGCACACGUCUCCAAAGCUUUCUGUUUGCAUGUCCACUGGCGAAAAAAGCAUUAAAGAAAAUUGUUGCUAUCUACUUUAUUCAGAUUUAAGCUUUAUUUUCACAGGAGGUUGAAGCUUUUAUUUGAGAAAGCAUCACUGUUAAUUCCCCACCUGCAGGCUGGUCUCAGUGAACCUCCUACAGAAUUAUUCCAGGACAGCCUCAGACUCUACAGAGAAACUGAGACAGGAGAGAUGCUGCUGGCCUUGCCAUCAAAGUGCUGCUGUGACCAGAGGAGAAUCUACGGGGGCUGUGACUUCCCCACCAGCUUUGAGAAGCAGCUUCCAAAGUGGCCCAGGCACUCCAUUAUCUUCAUCCAGGCUUGGUUCUGCUUCUCCUCAAAUCAGUGGGAAUUUCUGAAGUCUGUUGAAAAGGAAUCAGGACCUGUAAGGUCUUGGGUCAAUGCAGGGUCAUCAAGGUGAAGUGAUGUGCUUUCUAAAAAAAUGUGUAACUCAAGCACUUUAAACACCUGGAUUCAGAAAUGUCAAAGUUAAAGCCCUGUGCACAUCUUCCAUUCUCCUUUACAUGUGUGCAUUGCAAUAUGGCCUACACAACGAUGUUCUGCUUUCUGUGGGAGAUAAUUUUUCUCUCAGAUGUACAGGACAGAUGGAGAAUAUGGCAGGAAUGUGGUUGGGAUGACUUGGUUUCUGUAUACCUCACACAUAAAAUUUGGUUGGCAGAGGAUGAGUCAUGAGAUAUGGGGAGAAAUGUGCUUGCAGGUCUUGGCUAUGAUCUUAACUGUGGCAUCUCCAGCUAUCUCGUGUUUGGUUAUUUAUGUAAAGUAAUAACAAA